UACGUAGGGUGCAAGCGUUGUCCGGAAUUAUUGGGCGUAAAGAGCUUGUAGGCGGUUUGUCGCGUCUGCUGUGAAAUUUCGGGGCUCAACCCCGAACUUGCAGUGGGUACGGGCAGACUAGAGUGUGGUAGGGGAAACUGGAAUUCCUGGUGUAGCGGUGAAAUGCGCAGAUAUCAGGAGGAACACCGAUGGCGAAGGCAGGUCUCUGGGCCACUACUGACGCUGAGAAGCGAAAGCCAGGGGAGCAAACGGG
rnacentral:rRNA from 1 species